CAAUUAACUUGAGAAGUGGUAGUAAAGGUUUACCUCAGUUCCGUGUUUGUUGUUGUUCUCGAGCUUGUCGUCAAGGUCGCGUCGGGAGUUAUCAAAAGAUUUUUCAAUUUACCUUCUCAACCUGUCAGUCGGCUUGAGGAUUCGCUGAAGUUUUCGUCAUAGGAAAGUCAUAUAAAUAUGGUGCAAAUGUUCGUAUACGACAACAGUGAAGUGAAAAUUUAGCGUAAACGAAGUGUGGGAAAAUCUUUUCGUAGCUGCUUCUCGGUUCAUUCGGUCAAAAUCGGGGUGGAAAGAAAAAAUAGGCUGUAAGCCUAUGCCGAUAACACGUGGUUUGCAGACGCUGACUGCACAGAGGCUUUCAGUUCAGUGUUUGUUUUUGGCAUCGCAUGGCCAUGUCUGACGGUGGAAACUCAGCCAUUGAGAAUUCAGUUUAGAACGUGGGCUUGAACGAGGCGGUUCGCUUUUAGUCUAACACAUACCGACCGAACUAACGAUUUAAGAAAUUUAUCUUCUCUAAGCAAAAAAAAAAAAACCAAAAAAUAAUCAAUUACCAGAAACACAUCAUUCGAAAUUAACAAUUUAGAAACCAUCACCGAAAAGGGCCCCUAGCUAAUCCAACUCAUUUUUUUUCACGUGUGAGUGCAUUUUCUCCCCUCUAACCAAGGGUCUGGCAAGCUUUCAGGCCUUCUUAAGGCAGCGAAAUAAGAAAAAAAUAUGAUAAAAAUGACAGCAGCAAAUCUCUGCAAAUGAAAUUUUUUCCCCAUUCCAUUUUCGGCCAACUACACAUAAAACUAAUACCCAGUACUUCUCAUUCCGGGUGCUCUAUUGCUAUUUAACCAACACACAAAAAAAAAGAAAUAUCGUUUUAUCUCUGGGGCUGGCCAGCAAAAAUAAGGCAGAAAAGGCCCAAUAGCCCACACACAUAGCAGCAGCGGUGUCAGCAACAAACCAACAUUCGUUUAGUCCAAGCCCAGUCUUGGCCAACAGAAAAGAAGAAUAUCUUGGCUUGUUUUUUUGGCAAAUAGGAAAAUUUGUUAUGGGCACAUGCAGUGAAGUGUAAAAUGAAUUUAUUUUAGUCGAGAGCAUAGAAAAACCGGAGAAAAAUCGAAAAAUUUCCUAGUGGUGAAACGGAAAAUCAGUUAAGAUAAGAAAUGAUGAUAAUUUGAGCAAAUAAUACAAAAAAGAGUGAUAACGGGUUAACAAGAAACGUGUUGCCAACAGAAAAAAAUCUCUAAAUUUAAUAAAGGAAAAUUGGAAAUUUAAAGUUCAUACAUCCCUUAACAUUACAAAAAUCUUAAGAAAUCGAAAUACUACUGAAAAAAAAUCAAGAAGAAAGUUUGGGGCAAUACAAAGUUUUUCGUUGUUCUUCUCAAAACAAAAAGAAAGCGUACUCCACAAAAAGCAGGUUAACAAUCGAAUACAAGCAACCAAAACGUGUUCUCCGAACGAAAGAAUUCUUUUGAAGAGGCUGCAACGCUUAGACUACUGCAAUUCCUCAACUCUUGCUCCCCCACACUUUGGGCUCUUCUCCUCCCCUUGGCCCCUCACCAAGUAAAGUGCUGUGCGGCAACUACAAAAGCGGAGAAAUUUAAUGAAAAAAGCCAUUAUUUCAACUUAAUUAAAAUUGGACAUUUAUUGCCACAAUAUUAGACUAAACGUGGCUGCAAGUUUUUUUUGCCACAAACGACCAAGAGUACGGGUCCGGUUCUAACACAGCUGGGGCACUUCAAACAAGAAGACUUCCCAAGCAUUUUCGUUUGCAGGGAAAGAGGAAGUAGGUAAAGUCUGCUGCUACAACUAUUACUUCUUACUAGCCAGAGGAGGAAUAAGAAGGCGACUACAACGAUGAUGAUAAUGAUGUUGAAGCGGACUCUGAUGAUGGUUGUAAAGAAGAGCAUAUAGGCAAAGAACAUACGUCUUAAGUUGUAAACUGCAACAAAGUUUGCAACACAUUAAACUCUCGUCAAGUGGCAAAAGGGCUUAAAAACAUUUUCUUGUUUCCCCUCCACAAAAAAAAAAAAAAAAAAAAAAA
rnacentral:sRNA from 1 species